CCGAUGGCGACCGGCGCACGGGUGAGUAACACGUAUCCAACCUGCCGAUAACUCGGGGAUAGCCUUUCGAAAGAAAGAUUAAUAUCCGAUAGCAUAUCAAGAUCGCAUGAUCUUGAUAUUAAAGAAUUUCGGUUAUCGAUGGGGAUGCGUUCCAUUAGUUAGUUGGCGGGGUAACGGCCCACCAAGACGACGAUGGGUAGGGGUUCUGAGAGGAAGGUCCCCCACAUUGGAACUGAGACACGGUCCAAACCCCUACGGGAGGCAGCAG
rnacentral:rRNA from 1 species